UACGUAGGGCGCAAGCGUUAUCCGGAAUUAUUGGGCGUAAAGAGCUCGUAGGCGGUUUGUCGCGUCUGCCGUGAAAUUUCGGGGCUCAACCCCGAACUUGCAGUGGGUACGGGCAGACUAGAGUGUGGUAGGGGAGACUGGAAUUCCUGGUGUAGCGGUGAAAUGCGCAGAUAUCAGGAGGAACACCGAUGGCGAAGGCAGGUCUCUGGGCCAUAACUGACGCUGAGAAGCGAAAGCAUGGGGAGCGAACAGG
rnacentral:rRNA from 1 species